AAAAAACUCAAAAAGAAGGACCUUAUAGUGAUGUACGGGAUGACCGAGACGAGUCCCGUGACCUUCCAAUGCUUUCCUUCAGAUCCUCCAGAAGUCCGGUCCUCCACCAUCGGCUACCCGGGAGACCACAUUGAGGUGAAGGUGGUCGACGAGUGACGGGAGAUCGUGCCCACGGGAGAG